UACAGAGGGUGCAAGCGUUACUCGGAUUUACUGGGCGUAAAGGGCGCGUAGGCGGCGCGGUAAGUCACUUGUGAAAUCUCUGAGCUUAACUCAGAACGGCCAAGUGAUACUGCAGUGCUAGAGUGUGGAAGGGGCAAUCGGAAUUCUUGGUGUAGCGGUGAAAUGCGUAGAUAUCAAGAGGAACACCUGAGGUGAAGACGGAUUGCUGGGCCAACACUGACGCUGAGGCGCGAAAGCCAGGGGAGCAAACGGG
rnacentral:rRNA from 1 species